ensembl:miRNA
GGAAAACUCGAAUGAACUCUUUGGCUGACUCAGUAUUAUGUUUAGCAUCAGAGAGUCAUCAGCAUGUUCC